GAUUAAGUUAUUAAGGGCGCACGGUGGAUGCCUUGGCACUAGAAGCCGAUGAAGGACGUUACUAACGACGAUAUGCUUUGGGUAGCUGUAAGUAAGCGUUGAUCCAGAGAUUUCCGAAUGGGGAAACCCAGCACAAGUUAUGUUGUGUUAUCGACAAGUGAAUUCAUAGCUUGUCAGAAGGCAGACCCGGAGAACUGAAACAUCUUAGUACCCGGAGGAAGAGAAAGAAAAUUCGAUUCCCUGAGUAGCGGCGAGCGAAACGGGAAGAGCCCAAACCAAUAAGCUUGCUUAUUGGGGUUGUAGGACACUCUAUACGGAGUUACAAAGGAAUAUAUUAAACGAAUCAUCUGGAAAGUUGAAUCAAAGAAGGUAAUAAUCCUGUAGUUGAAAAUAUAUUCUCUCUUGAGUGGAUCCUGAGUACGACGGAGCACGUGAAAUUCCGUCGGAAUCUGGGAGGACCAUCUCCUAAGGCUAAAUACUCUCUAGUGACCGAUAGUGAACCAGUACCGUGAGGGAAAGGUGAAAAGUACCCCGGAAGGGGAGUGAAAGAGAACUUGAAACCGUGUGCUUACAAGUAGUCAGAGCCCGUUAAUGGGUGAUGGCGUGCCUUUUGUAGAAUGAACCGGCGAGUUACGAUCUGAUGCAAGGUUAAGCAGAAAAUGUGGAGCCGUAGCGAAAGCGAGUCUGAAUAGGGCGUAUAGUAUUUGGUCGUAGACCCGAAACCAGGUGAUCUACCCAUGGUCAGGUUGAAGUUCAGGUAACACUGAAUGGAGGACCGAACCGACUUACGUUGAAAAGUGAGCGGAUGAACUGUGGGUAGCGGAGAAAUUCCAAUCGAACUUGGAGAUAGCUGGUUCUCUCCGAAAUAGCUUUAGGGCUAGCCUCAAGUGAUGAUUAUUGGAGGUAGAGCACUGUUUGGACGAGGGGCCCCUCUCGGGUUACCGAAUUCAGACAAACUCCGAAUGCCAAUUAAUUUAACUUGGGAGUCAGAACAUGGGUGAUAAGGUCCGUGUUCGAAAGGGAAACAGCCCAGACCACCAGCUAAGGUCCCAAAAUAUAUGUUAAGUGGAAAAGGAUGUGGCGUUGCCCAGACAACUAGGAUGUUGGCUUAGAAGCAGCCAUCAUUUAAAGAGUGCGUAAUAGCUCACUAGUCGAGUGACACUGCGCCGAAAAUGUA
rnacentral:rRNA from 1 species